GGUAAUGCAAUGUUGGAAGGUUAUACAAAAACAAGUAAAAUAAUUCAUGGAAUUUGUAUCUAAAGCACUUAAUGGUCUCUGUUUUCAGUUUGAUUGUUGAUUUUAUUUUUCUCUGGAUUUUAUUGGCCUUCUACAGCUAUUACUAAAUUACAGAAAAAGCUGGUUUAUCUGGUGGAAAGCUACAGUGUCUCUUGAGUUCCAGAUUUGGACAUUCUUUGUAAAUAGCUGUCUGGAUGGAUUAUAAUAAAGAAGAUGCUACCAGUGAAAUAGAAAACCAACUAAAUGACACAAGACUGUGAUCCUCAUGACCACUCUAGAAGGCACUUGUAUACAUAAAUCAUAAAGACCAUAUUAAUUGGAUGCAGUGCCAAUGCCCCGUUUUUUUGCCUGUGACUCAACAAAGAUCUUUUCAGUUUAUAAAAGCAGUUUGGGUUUGUAUUUACAACUUCUCUAAUGGUUACCUGCAUGUCCAUUGCUGGCAACGGACUUUGUCAUUAAAACCUGACUCCUAGGCUAAGGGAGCUACACUGUGGUUUAUUCUUUACUUACUUGGAUAAACUAACUUGUAAUAGAAAUAUACUUUGGUUAAUUCUGAACUGUGUCAUUUUUGAAUAAUCCUAAAAGCAAUACAGAAUUUAUUUAUUAUAUUUCAGACUCUCUGGCAGUCUAAAAGUUUCCUUUUCUUCCUGUUCCUUUUGCUGCUUUUAGGGACAGUUAAAUCUGGGAAACCAUGAAAAUAUUGAAUAUUUUAUUCUACCUAGAAUAGUAAAAAACAAGUAGACUGAUUGUGCUAGCAUCAGAAACUAAGGCUAACACAACUGUCUUUGUGUGUUGAGUGCCUGGCACGUAAUAUAAAUUCUCUUUCCCUCAAUAUAUAAAUAUUAAGCUGCUUAAGAUGUAUCUAGAUGUUACCACAGUCCUAAAUGACCCUGUGCCUUUAAUGAGCAAUUUAAAACUACCUAUGAGUAUUUCUUUGUAGGGCUCACAUAAAUGCAUAUUUGUUUAUAUAUACUGUAUUCUAGUUUGGAGUAAUUCUAGAUCCGAUCAGACAGUGGCUCUAAUUAGAACAAGAUGGGUGCUUAAAAUUUUUGCAUUAGUUUUUUAGUCUAAAAAUUUAAAAACAUACUGAGAUUCAUAUCAAGUGAAAUGUCUAAAAUCAUUAUAGAAUAUAGCUGAAGUCCUCAACUUCUUUGAGGUUUUUUAUACUGAAAUUCAUGGUAAUAUAAAAAGCAGAUUGUCUUCCUUGUCUCAACUGCUCCCACAAUAGAGGAACAGUUAAAAUCAGUUUUUCCCCACAGGUGUAUGAGUAUGUGUAAGAAAGGGAAAAAGAAAAUACACACACGGAUUUUAUUUCUCACUAACACAUUUAUUGACCACACUGACAAAGACGCCAUGGUAAAUAUUGUGAGGAUUACAAAGGAGAACUGAGCACCGGCCUGGCCUUGAGAGAACUGAAGUCUUUCUCACUCACAAUUCUAGAAUGUUGCCAAAUGGAGAGAAAAAAUGUAUGAUAAUUUUGUCAAGCAUACUUUCAUUCUGUGUUAAGCAGAGAAUUAACUUUGAACAUCUUUGGUAGGAAUGUCUUGUGGGGGUUUUUUUUUUUUUUUGUAGCUAGAAAUGGAAUUAAGUGAAAGUAACUUGUUUUCUGUUUUGUCUUCAAAUUUUAUAUUGACUUAUUUUUAAUUUAAUCCCAUUCAAUUAUUUAAUUGUUACAUUGACAUUAACUGCUGUAUUUGAUGACCUUGUUCAAUAAUUUUGUUCUUUCAGGGCUAGAAAUAAACUUUUUAAUGUUCAUUUUCCCUUUUCCUAAACUUUAAUUCUUUCUUAAGAUCAGAGUAGCUUAAAAGAAUAUAUGUAAUAGGUUUUCAAAGAACAUCCUAGUAUUUUUAAGGAUGACUAUUUUUUAAACGUGUCACAGCACUAUGAAUGUAUUACAGAGCUCCAAAUUAGAAAGAUUUUCAGAAAUCAUUGAGUAAUAAGCAUGAGCCUUCCCUCUUCUAAAUCAGGUUCAG
rnacentral:lncRNA from 1 species